rnacentral:rRNA from 1 species
UCCCAGUGCUCGCACAGCAGGUGCGGUAAGAGGGAGGGUGCAAGCGUUGCUCGGAAUCAUUGGGCGUCAAUCGCACGUGGGCGGCCUGGUAAGUCGGUUGUGAAAGCCCUUGGCUCAACCCAGGAAGUGCACUCGAAACUGACGGGCUUGAAUAUGGAAGAGGGUCGCGGAAUUCCCGGUGUAGAGGUGAAAUUCGUAGAUAUCGGGAGGAACACCAGUGGCGAAGGCGGCGACCUGGGCCAAUAUUGACGCUGAGGUGCGAAAGCGUGGGGAGCAAACAGGAUUAGAUACCCGGGUAGUC